UCCAUGUCAGCAGAACAUGGUGGAACCUCUCCAAGAUAUGAGCAAAUUACUGUUCUACCCACUAUCUAAGGGUGAUAUCUUGGCAGUCCAUCUUAUUGGGCCUUGGCAAGUCCAACCCAAUAAGAGGACCUUUGGCCCAGAGCUGGGGGCUAUAUAAGCUCUCCUAUACAGGAGAGCUAGGUAACAUUAUUCAUUCUCUCAUUUAGUUUCUCUCUCUAGUAUCUCUCUUGCUCUCUUUCCUUGUCUGACUUUGGCAUCGGAGCACCUGCAGGUACAAUCCCCCCUCCGUGGAUCAGCUGCUCGACCCGCC
rnacentral:lncRNA from 1 species